rnacentral:rRNA from 1 species
GACGUAGGGCGCGAGCGUUGUCCGGAUUUAUUGGGCGUAAAGAGCUCGUAGGCGGCUUGUCGCGUCGACUGUGAAAACCCGCGGCUCAACUGCGGGGCCUGCAGCCGAUACGGGCAGGCUAGAGUUCGGUAGGGGAGACUGGAAUUCCUGGUGUAGCGGUGAAAUGCGCAGAUAUCAGGAGGGAACACCGGUGGCGAAGGCGGGUCUCUGGGGCCGAUACUGACGCUGAGGAGCGAAAAGCGUGGGGGAGCGAACAGG